AUCCAGACUCCUACGGGAGGCAGCAGUGGGGAAUAUUGCACAAUGGGGGAAACCCUGAUGCAGCGACGCCGCGUGAGCGAUGAAGUAUUUCGGUAUGUAAAGCUCUAUCGGCAGGGAAGAAGAUGACGGUACCUGACUAAGAAGCCCCGGCUAACUACGUGCCAGCAGCCGCGGUAAUACGUAGGGGGCAAGCGUUAUCCGGAUUUACUGGGUGUAAAGGGAGCGUAGACGGCGAUGCAAGCCAGAUGUGAAAGCCCGGGGCUCAACCCCGGGACUGCAUUUGGAACUGUGUGGCUGGAGUGUCGGAGAGGCAGGCGGAAUUCCUAGUGUAGCGGUGAAAUGCGUAGAUAUUAGGAGGAGCACCAGUGGCGAAGGCGGCCUGCUGGACGAUGACUGACGUUGAGGCUCGAAAGCGUGGGGAGCAAACAGGAUUAGAUACCCGUGUA
rnacentral:rRNA from 1 species